AUUGAACGCUGGCGGCAGGCCUAACACAUGCAAGUCGAACGAGUGGCGGACGGGUGUGAAAUGUAUGGGACCUUGCCUGAAGGCUGGGGUUACUUACUGGAAACGGUAGCUAAAACCGCAUACCUUCGGAUGUGCCCAGAUGGCAUUAGCUAGUAGGUGGGGUAACGGCUGACCAAGGCGACGAUCCCUAGCUGGUCUGAGAGGAUGACCAGCCACACUGUAACUGAGACACGGUCCAGACUCCUACGGGAGGCAGCAGUGGGGAAUAUUGCACAAUGGGCGAAAGCCUGAUGCAGCCAUGCCGCGUGAGUGAAGAAGGUCUUCGGAUUGUAAAGUACUUUCAGCGGGGAGGCGUUACCCGAAGAAGAAGCACCGGCUAACUCCGUGCCAGCAGCCGCGGUAAUAC
rnacentral:rRNA from 1 species